AGCUAUACAACGUAGGGACAAGAUGGGCACAACAAGUUUGAAGAUGGCAAAAAGGGGCCUUCAGGAGAUGUAUCAAGGAUUGCAGCGAAUCAUAUCCUCUCGAUUGGAGUCCACUUGCUGGAUAUUGAGAAAAUAAGUCGCCGUUGCUACACGCCUUUAACGGUGAUUGAUAUGCGCUAACUCACGGACGGCCGAUUAUUGCAGCCAACCAAAGGCAUGAAUGUUGCAUGUGGACACGAGGAGAUAGAGCCUAUCGGAGGUGCCUCUCUAGGGUCGUCCACCCACCAAUGGUGAAAGCAAGCUACAAGACCAGCCCGCUCCGCCUAUGGAUGCAGUGGACAUCAUUGGACAAAUUCACACAAGCUCUUAUGCUUGGGCCCUGAGUUCUCUCCUGUCACAAUUUUCGCUUAUGACUGGCCAGAGAAUCUACUGGUGCAUACAUGGUUUCAUCAAAGCCUCCCAUGGUUGCACCUUCCAUUUCUUCUGGUAAUUGAGAGUGAUAAAUGCAAUUAUGCAGUGAAGAGGGAUGAGUAAUUAAAUUAUUUGAUUUGUUGAGCAACUCCAGAAUAGAUAUUUACCGGUACAUCUCAAUUAUUUAAAGAACUAAAGAGGUUCUGAAUGAAUUUCUUCUAUUCUUUGGAAUAUUUUUGAGCUAUACACGGAAACAUUUUUGGUUGUUUCUUGGAUGAUUCAUAUGUGAAUCUAAGCUAUUCUCAUAGGUUUUGAACC